rnacentral:lncRNA from 1 species
CUACCCCCUGCGCUCCCAGCGGGCAUUAGCCAGCGUGAACGCCGGGGCCUGGCACCCCUUCCCUUCCGCGUGUGCGCGCACACGCACUCCAGCCUGACACAGUACACACCCCGACACACGCACACAAACCGACACUCCAGCUAGUGUGGACACCGGGGCCUGGCACAGCCAUACACACACUCCAGCCGGACACCCCCCUACACACAUACACUCCAGCUAGUGUGGGCGCCAGGACUGGCACAGCCAUACACACACUGCAGCCUAACACCCCCCUACACCCCACCCCCUACACUCCAGCUAGUGUGGACGCCUAACCCGCACCCAGACCCACUCCCACUAAGAGCCCCGCGGAGAAGCCCAUGAAGAGGCGGGCGCGGCGGGGGAGCACCCCGUGGGUCCUGCUCGGGACAGGAUCCGGCUCCCAGGGAGCCGCGUGGGAGCGGGAACAGGCGCGGGGAGCGGGCGCUGCCCCUCCGGGAGCCGCUCCCCGGAGCCGCUGCCUGGAAGCAGCGCCUGAAACUUUCAUCCCAGGCAGGGAAGUUCCUCUACAGAAAGCAAAGGAAAAGUUGUGGUAUGGUGAGCCGGAAGAGCCCCUCCGCCCCCUCUGCUGACUGCAAAGAAAAGCUCUUCUGUUUGUAUAACCCCCCCCCCCCCCGUUAAAAAAGCAGCACAUCACGAUUAACUAAAACUGCCCGGGAUAACCCUAAUUUCCAUAUGCAGAUUUAUCUGCACUGACAGCCCCCUCUCCCUCUCCCUCGGUCUCUGUGUUUCCCUCGGUCUUGCUCUUUCUCUCUAUUUGCAUUGUGUCUGCCUGAUUUUUCUGGCUCCUCUUUUUCUUGCUUUCUCUUUCUCUCCCUCUUGCACGCACAGGCUGAAAUAACUAGACGAAGCCGCGAGACGGAUGCUGCAGUCACUGUCUUUUAGGAGCGGUUGGGGGGGGGGGGAUCCAGGAAACCUUCUCAUUGCUAAACCGCCUCAUCCUUUCCAGCCCGGCUUGGGGAUCCAACUUCCCCAGGUUGGCUGGGGAUGGGAAAGGGACAGACGUGGAAGAGGAGAGCACUUUGCAACAGCUGCAGCCAGCGGUGCUCGUCGCCAGAUGUGCGGGGGGGUGGGCAUGAAAAGGCAGCACAGGAAAAAUAUUAGGAGACAAAAGCGGCAGCCUCAAGGAUCAUUUGCUUUAUUUAAUAUGGCAGCAGGCGGCGGGUGUGGGGGAAGAUCAACAUGCUGCCUGUUCAGCCGGACUCCUCUCCCGGCGAGGAUGAAAGGAGGUGAUCCCGUGCCAGAGGGACCUGAGAGCAAUGAACAUAGGGCUAUUUCUAUCACUGCCAGCAUGUUUGCAGCGAUGCUUGUCAACAUCCACCAGAGAGCAGGGCAGCUCCAAUACCCACAUCUUUUAUGCUGUGGAAAUCGAUGGAGACAGCAACACAGCCAGCUCCUUGGCCAAACAACAUGGAUUGCAGUUCAUUUCAAAGGUACUGGUCUCAGCCUAUAA